GAUGAACGCUGGCGGCGUGCCUAAUACAUGCAAGUCGAGCGAACAGACGAGGAGCUUGCUCCUCUGACGUUAGCGACGGACGGGUGAGUAACACGUGGAUAACCUACCUAUAAGACUGGGAUAACUUCGGGAAACCUGAGCUAAUACCGGAUAAUAUAUUGAACCGCAUGGUUCAAUAGUGAAAGACGGUUUUGCUGUCACUUAUAGAUGGAUCCGCGCCGCAUUAGCUAGUUGGUAAGGUAACGGCUUACCAAGGCGACGAUGCGUAGCCGACCUGAGAGGGUGAUCGGCCACACUGGAACUGAGACACGGUCCAGACUCCUACGGGAGGCAGCAGUAGGGAAUCUUCCGCAAUGGGCGAAAGCCUGACGGAGCAACGCCGCGUGAGUGAUGAAGGUCUUCGGAUCGUAAAACUCUGUUAUUAGGGAAGAACAAAUGUGUAAGUAACUAUGCACGUCUUGACGGUACCUAAUCAGAAAGCCACGGCUAACUACGUG
rnacentral:rRNA from 1 species